rnacentral:rRNA from 2 species
UCAAGAGAGGAAAGGGCGUACGGUGGAUGCCUAGGCACCAGGAGCCGAGGAAGGGCGCGGCAAGCGGCGAAACGCCCCGGGGAGCCGCAAGCGGGCGUAGAUCCGGGGGUACCCGAAUGGGGGAACCCACCCGAGGGAAUGCUCGGGUAUUCACUGGUGAACACAUAGCCAGUGGAGGGGAACCGGGCGAACUGAAACAUCUAAGUAGCCCGAGGAAAAGAAAGAAAAGAUCGAUUCCCUAAGUAGCGGCGAGCGAAAGGGGAGGAGCCCAAACCAUGCGAGUGUAGGAGGCCAAGGCUGAUGCUUGCAUGGGGUAAGGCACAUACCGGGGUAGGGCCUUGGACCUACCAGUGAUGUAGUAGAGCUAGCCGAAUGGUACUGGGAAGGCCAGCCGGAGAGGGUGAGAGCCCCGUAGGCGAAAGCUUUAGUACAUCACGAGGUAUGUAGCCAGAGUACCACGGGAUAGGCGACCCUGUGGGAAGGAGGGAGGACCACCUCCCAAGGCUAAAUACUACCUGGUGACCGAUAGCGGAUAGUACCGUGAGGGAAAGGUGAAAAGGACCCCGGGAGGGGAGUGAAAGAGAACCUGAAACCGUACGCUUACAAGCAGUCAGAGCCUAGCGUAAGCUAGGUGAUGGCGUACUUUUUGUAGAACGGGCCGGCGAGUUACGGUAGCAAGCGAGGUUAAGGGAUUAAGGCCUGGAGCCGAAGCGAAAGCGAGUCCGAAGAGGGCGUAAGUUUGCUGCCGUAGACCCGAAACCGUGCGAGCUACCCAUGGCCAGGGUGAAGCCGGAGUAAGAUCUGGUGGAGGCCCGAACCACGUUGGCGUUGAAAAGCCAUGGGAUGAGCUGUGGGUAGGGGUGAAAUGCCAAGCGAGCACGGAGAUAGCUGGUUCUCCCCGAAAUAGCUUUAGGGCUAGCCUCAGGGAAGAGGCCUAUGGAGGUAGAGCACUGAAUGGGCUAGGGGCCAAGGAGGUUACCGAACCCUAUCAAACUCCGAAUGCCAUAGGCGGGAACCUGGGAGUCAGACCACGGGUGAUAAGAUUCGUGGUCGAGAGGGGAACAGCCCAGACCUCCAGCUAAGGUCCCGAAGGGCAUGUUAAGUGGGGAAGGAAGUGGGACUUCGGAGACAACCAGGAUGUUGGCUUAGAAGCAGCCAUACAUUUAAAGAGUGCGUAACAGCUCACUGGUCGAGAGGUCCUGCGCCGAAAAUGAACGGGGCUAAAACAUGCCACCGAAGCUGGGGCUACCGCGUAAGGCGGUGGGGUAGGGGAGCGUACUGUACGGGGAGAAGGCCGAGUGUAAGCGAGGCUGGACUGUACAGUAGAGAGAAUGCCGGCAUGAGUAACGAGAGUAAGGUGAGAAACCUUACCGCCGGAAGCCUAAGGGUUCCUGGGGGAGGGUAAUCCGCCCAGGGUAAGCCGGGACCUAAGCCGAGGCGAGAGCGUAGGCGAUGGAGAAGGGGUAGAGAAUCCCCUGCCACCGAGCAGGGAAGCGAAGGGGUGACGCAGGAGGGUAGGCUGAGCGCGCGGUUGGUAGAGCGCGUCCAAGCCAGUAGGGUGCAGGAUAGGCAAAUCCGUCCUGCGUAGGGCCUGAGAGGGCGAAGGGGAGGGAAAGAGAGUACCGAAGCAGCCGAGCCCAGACUGCCGAGAAAAGCCUCUAAGCGGUAAACUGCUUGGUGCCCGUACCGGAAACCGACACAGGUAGGCGAGGAGAGUAUCCACAGGCGAGCGGGGGAACCCUCAUUAAGGAACUCGGCAAAAUGGCCCCGUAACUUAGGGAGAAGGGGUACCCAUUGGGGUAUAGGCCGAGCGCUGAAAGCCCUGAUGGGUCGCAGAGGAGAGGCCCAAGCGACUGUUUACCAAAAACACAGGUCUCUGCUAAGUCGGAAGACGAAGUAUAGGGGCUGACGCCUGCCCGGUGCUGGAAGGUUAAGGGGAGGGGUUAAAGCUCUGAACCGAAGCCCCAGUGAACGGCGGCCGUAACUAUAACGGUCCUAAGGUAGCGAAAUUCCUUGUCGGGUAAGUUCCGACCCGCACGAAAGGCGUAACGACUUGGGCGCUGUCUUGAUGAGGGGCCCGGUGAAAUUGUAGUACUCGUGAAGAUGCGAGUUACCCGCGAUUGGACAGAAAGACCCCGUGGAGCUUUACUGCAGCCUGUCACUGGAUGCUGGUAGUUUCUGUACAGGAUAGGUGGGAGACGUAGAAGGUAGGGCGCGAGCCUUACUGGAGUCGGCGGUGGGAUACCACCCUGGGACUACUGGGAUUCUAACCUAUAGCCGAGGAGCCGGCGUAGGGACAAUGGCAGGUGGGCAGUUUGACUGGGGCGGUCGCCUCCUAAAGGGUAACGGAGGCGCCCAAAGGUUACCUCAGCGCGGACGGGAAUCGCGCGGGAGAGUGCAAAGGCAGAAGGUAGCCUGACUGUGAGAGGGACACCUCGAGCAGGGACGAAAGUCGGGCUUAGUGAUCCGGCGGCAGUGAGUGGGGACGCCGUCGCUCAACGGAUAAAAGCUACCCCGGGGAUAACAGGCUGAUCUCCCCCAAGAGUCCACAUCGACGGGGAGGUUUGGCACCUCGAUGUCGGCUCAUCGCAUCCUGGGGCUGAAGUAGGUCCCAAGGGUUGGGCUGUUCGCCCAUUAAAGCGGUACGUGAGCUGGGUUCAGAACGUCGUGAGACAGUUCGGUCCCUAUCCGUCGCGGGCGUAGGAAACUUGAGAGGGACUGCCCCUAGUACGAGAGGACCGGGGUGGACGAACCGAUGGUGUACCAGUUGUUCCGCCAGGGGCACAGCUGGGUAGCCAAGUUCGGAAGGGAUAAGCGCUGAAAGCAUCUAAGCGCGAAGCCCGCCUCAAGACAAGGUUUCCCACCCGUAAGGGGGUAAGACACCUCGAAGACGACGAGGUAGAUAGGCCGGGGGUGUAAGAGUGGUAACACUCUUAGCUGACCGGUACUAAUCAGUCGAGGACUUGACCAU